CUGGCUUCUCUUGAUUUCGGUGUGCCUGCGAGCCUUGAUGGUUUGUCGGCAGUGUCAAGAAUGUGAAGCAAAAACAAGCGGUGUUCCUCUCGCUAUCCGGCGCGGAAUUCUCUGAUGCGAUUGGACGUCGAGGAACUACACUU
rfam:Zea mays cultivar B73 chromosome 4, whole genome shotgun sequence.